UUACGACCAUACCACGUUGAAACACCGAUUCCCGUACAAUUACCGAAGUUAAGCAACGUCGAGUCUGGUCAGUACCUAGAUGGGUGACCACUUGGGAAUGCGAGAUAUCGUAA